rnacentral:rRNA from 1 species
UGGGGAAUAUUGCACAAUGGGCGCAAGCCUGAUGCAGCCAUGCCGCGUGUGUGAAGAAGGCCUUCGGGUUGUAAAGCACUUUCAGCGAGGAGGAAGGUGGUGAGCUUAAUACGCUCAUCAAUUGACGUUACUCGCAGAAGAAGCACCGGCUAACUCCGUGCCAGCAGCCGCGGUAAUACGGAGGGUGCAAGCGUUAAUCGGAAUUACUGGGCGUAAAGCGCACGCAGGCGGUUUGUUAAGUCAGAUGUGAAAUCCCCGGGCUCAACCUGGGAACUGCAUUUGAAACUGGCAAGCUAGAGUCUCGUAGAGGGGGGUAGAAUUCCAGGUGUAGCGGUGAAAUGCGUAGAGAUCUGGAGGAAUACCGGUGGCGAAGGCGGCCCCCCGGACGAAGACUGACGCUCAGGUGCGAAAGCGUGGGGCAGCAAACAGGAUUAGAUACCCUGGUAGUCCAGCGCUGUAAACGAUGUCGAUUUUGGAGGUUGUGCCCUUGAGGCGUGGCUUCCGGAGCUAACGCGUUAAAGUCGACCGCCU